rnacentral:rRNA from 1 species
AUUGAACGCUGGCGGCAGGCCUAACACAUGCAAGUCGAGCGGAUGAAGGGAGCUUGCUCCUGGAUUCAGCGGCGGACGGGUGAGUAAUGCCUAGGAAUCUGCCUGGUAGUGGGGGAUAACGUCAGGAAACGGGCGCUAAUACCGCAUACGUCCUGAGGUAGAACGUGGGGGAUCUUCGGACCUCGCGCUAUCAGAUGAGCCUAGGUCGGAUUAGCUAGUUGGUGAGGUAAAGGCCUACCAAGGCGACGAUCCGUAACUGGUCUGAGAGGAUGAUCAGUCACACUGGAACUGAGACACGGUCCAGACUCCUACGGGAGGCAGCAGUGGGGAAUCUUGGACAAUGGGCGAAAGCCUGACGCAGCCAUGCCGCGUGUGUGAAGAAGGUCUUCGGAUUGUAAAGCACUUUAAGUUGGGAGGAAGGGCAGUAAGUUAAUACCUUGCUGUUUUGACGGUACCAACAGAAUAAGCAACGGCUAACUUCGUG